GAUGAACGCUGGCGGCGUGCCUAAUACAUGCAAGUCGAGCGAACGGACGAGAAGCUUGCGUCUCUGAUGUUAGCGGCGGACGGGUGAGUAACACGUGGAUAACCUACCUAUAAGACUGGGAUAACUUCGGGAAACCGGAGCUAAUACCGGAUAAUAUUUUGAACCGCAUGGUUCAAAAGUGAAAGACGGUCUUGCUGUCACUUAUAGAUGAAUCCGCGCUGCAUUAGCUAGUUGGUAAGGUAACGGCUUACCAAGGCAACGAUGCAGAGCCGACCUGAGAGGGUGAUCGGCCACACUGGAACUGAGACACGGUCCAGACUCCUACGGGAGGCAGCAGUAGGGAAUCUUCCGCAAUGGGCGAAAGCCUGACGGAGCACCGCCGCGUGAGUUAUGAAGGUCUUCGGAUCGUAAAACUCUGUUAUUAGGGAAGAACAUAUGUGUAAGUAACUGUGCACAUCUUGACGGUACCUAAUCAGAAAGCCACGGCUAACUACGUG
rnacentral:rRNA from 1 species